rnacentral:lncRNA from 1 species
UGUGCAAGUGGAGGCUACGACCGAUGAUGGUUUCGACAAAAGAGAGGGUUACGAUCGACGACGCGAAGGAGGAGCGCACGACGGAAGAUAGGGGUCGUUCGACUGUCCGAUGCAACACGAGUCGACACGGCUGGAGAGAAACGAACGGUUGUGCUUCGUGACCGUGAUGCUUCGACUAUGCGACCGUGACGAGGACUCUCUCACUGGAGUAUUGUGCGCGACGAUGGCUGAAGUGGGGCGGCGACUGCUCUAGGGUUGAAUGGUGAAGAAGAAAGAGGGGUGGAGAAGAUGGACAUGAAAAAUGAAAGAGG